CCUACGGGAGGCAGCAGUGAGGAAUAUUGGUCAAUGGCCGGGAGGCUGAACCAGCCAAGUCGCGUGAGGGAAGACGGCCCUACGGGUUGUAAACCUCUUUUGUCAGGGAGCAAGGUGCAGGUCGGGACCUGCUGUGAGAGUACCUGAAGAAAAAGCAUCGGCUAACUCCGUGCCAGCAGCCGCGGUAAUACGGAGGAUGCGCGCGUUAUCCGGAUUUAUUGGGUUUAAAGGGUGCGCAGGCGGAGGCACAAGUCAGCGGUAAAAUCGCGGGGCUCAACCCCGCUCCGCCGUUGAAACUGUGGCCCUUGAGUGCGCGAAGGGUAGGCGGAAUGCGUGGUGUAGCGGUGAAAUGCAUAGAUAUCACGCAGAACUCCGAUCGCGAAGGCAGCCUACCGGCGCGCAACUGACGCUCAUGCACGAAAGCGUGGGUAUCGAACAGGAUUAGAUACCCUGGUAGUC
rnacentral:rRNA from 1 species